AUUGAACGCUGGCGGCAUGCCUUACACAUGCAAGUCGAACGGUAACGCGGGGCAACCCGGCGACGAGUGGCGGACGGGUGAGUAAUGCAUCGGAACGUGCCCAGUAGUGGGGGAUAGCCCGGCGAAAGCCGGAUUAAUACCGCAUACGACCUACGGGUGAAAGGGGGGGAUCGCAAGACCUCUCGCUAUUGGAGCGGCCGGUGUCAGAUUAGGUAGUUGGUGGGGUAAAGGCCUACCAAGGCGACGAUCUGUAGCUGGUCUGAGGGGACGACCAGCCACACUGGGACUGGGACACGGCCCAGACUCCUACGGGAGGCAGCAGUGGGGAAUUUUGGACAAUGGGCGAAAGCCUGAUCCAGCCAUGCCGCGUGCGGGAAGAAGGCCUUCGGGUUGUAAACCGCUUUUGUCAGGGAAGAAAUCUUCUGAGUUAAUACCUCGGGAGGAUGACGGUACCUGAAGAAUAAGCACCGGCUAACUACGUGCCAGCCGCCGCAGUAA
rnacentral:rRNA from 1 species